UACGAAGGGGGGCUAGCGUUGUUCGGAAUUACUGGGCGUAAAGCGCGCGCAGGCGGUUCUUCAAGUCAGAGGUGAAAGCCCAGAGCUCAACUCUGGAAUGGCCUUUGAGACUAGAGAACUAGGGUACGGGAGAGGUGAGUGGAAUUCCGAGUGUAGAGGUGAAAUUCGUAGAUAGUUCGGAAGAACACCAGUGGCGAAGGCGGCUCACUGGCCCGUUACCGACGGCUCAGGCGCGACAGCGUGGGGAGCAA
rnacentral:rRNA from 1 species